UACAGAGGGGGCAAGCGUUAUUCGGAAUUAUUGGGCGUAAAGGGCGCGUAGGCGGCUUUGCAAGUGACGGGUGAAAGCCCUCGGCUUAACCGAGGAACUGCCUGUCAGACUGUAAGGCUUGAGACCGGGAGAGGUGAGUGGAAUUCCCAGUGUAGCGGUGAAAUGCGUAGAUAUCGGGAGGAACACCAGUGGCGAAGGCGACUUCCUGGCCUGUUCUUGACGCUGAGGCGCGAAAGCUAGGGGAGCAAACGGG
rnacentral:rRNA from 1 species